rnacentral:tRNA from 1 species
CGGUAGCUCAGUUGGUAGAGCAACGGACUUUUAAUCCGUAGGUCGUGGGUUCGACCCCCACCCG